UUCGUAGGGGGCUAGCGUUGUCCGGAAUCAUUGGGCGUAAAGAGCGUGUAGGCGGUCCGGUAAGUCCGCUGUGAAAGUCGGGGGCUCAACCCUCGAAUGCCGGUGGAUACUGUCGGGCUAGAGUGCGGAAGAGGCGAGUGGAAUUCCUGGUGUAGCGGUGAAAUGCGCAGAUAUCAGGAGGAACACCUAUUGCGAAGGCAGCUCGCUGGGACGUAACUGACGCUGAGACGCGAAAGCGUGGGGAGCAAACAGG
rnacentral:rRNA from 1 species